AGUGAACGCUGGCGGCGUGCCUAAUACAUGCAAGUCGAACGGAAUUUAAAAGAGCUUGCUCUUUUAAAUUUAGUGGCGCACGGGUGAGUAAUAUAUAGCUAAUCUGCCCCUUGCUGGAGGACAACAGUUAGAAAUGACUGCUAAUACUCCAUACUCCUUUUUACCAUAAGAUAAAUCGGGAAAGAAUUUCGGCAAGGGAUGAGACUAUAUCGUAUCAGCUAGUCGGUGGGGUAACGGCCUACCGAGGCUAUGACGCGUAACUGGUCUGAGAGGAUGAUCAGUCACAUUGGAACUGAGACACGGUCCAAACUCCUACGGGAGGCAGCAGUAGGGAAUAUUGCGCAAUGGGGGAAACCCUGACGCAGCAACGCCGCGUGGAGGAUGACACUUUUCGGAGCGUAAACUCCUUUUGUUAGGGAAGAAUAAUGACGGACCUAACGAACAAGC
rnacentral:rRNA from 1 species